AGAAAGUGUACCUAGGGUUCCACGCCCGCGCGGCGGGCGGUUCGGUCCGAGCGGUACAGGCGGCCGGGGAUGUCCGUCCGCUACACCGGCAGGGAGAAAAGCCCAGGCGGC
rnacentral:sRNA from 2 species